AGCCCGCAUGGCUCAGUGGUAGAGCGCAUCACUAGUAAUGAUGAGGUCGUCAGUUCGAUUCUGGCUGUGGGC
rnacentral:tRNA from 1 species